rnacentral:rRNA from 1 species
UACGUAGGGGGCAAGCGUUAUCCGGAUUUACUGGGUGUAAAGGGAGCGUAGGCGGUGCAGCAAGUCAGAAGUGAAAGCCCGGGGCUCAAUUCCGGGACUGCUUUUGAAACUGUUGAACUAGAUUGCAGGAGAGGUAAGUGGAAUUCCUAGUGUAGCGGUGAAAUGCGUAGAUAUUAGGAGGAACACCAGUGGCGAAGGCGGCUUACUGGACUGUAAAUGACGCUGAGGCUCGAAAGCGUGGGGAGCAAACAGG